rnacentral:rRNA from 1 species
UCCUCCCUCUUUCUUCGUGCUUAACACAUGCAAGUCGAACGGAAAGGCCCUGCUUUUGUGGGGUGCUCGAGUGGCGAACGGGUGAGUAACACGUGAGUAACCUGCCCUUGACUUUGGGAUAAUUUCAGGAAACUGGGGCUAAUACCGGAUAGGAGCUCCUGCUGCAUGGUGGGGGUUGGAAAGUUUCGGCGGUUGGGGAUGGACUCGCGGCUUAUCAGCUUGUUGGUGGGGUAGUGGCUUACCAAGGCUUUGCCGGGUAGCCGGCCUGAGAGGGUGACCGGCCACAUUGGGACUGAGAUACGGCCCAGACUCCUACGGGAGGCAGCAGUGGGGAAUAUUGCACAAUGGGCGGAAGCCUGAUGCAGCAACGCCGCGUGCGGGAUGACGGCCUUCGGGUUGUAAACCGCUUUCGCCUGUGACGAAGCGUGAGUGACGGUAAUGGGUAAAGAAGCACCGGCUAACUACGUG